UAAAGAAUUGAACCACCAGAGGGCCUCAGGCGACUCAGGAGGUUUGGGAAGAGACAAAGGCACAUGCUUAGAGGGUCUGGAGAAGGCGAGGAAGAAGGAAGGGAGCCAAGUAAAACAUGUGACUGACCAGGGGCUUUGGAGAAGACAAGCCCUGCAGGAAGGCACGCAUGUGGUCAUUCUGUCUGUAGCCUCCCAUUCCUCCCUGCUUUCCCCAGCUGCAUCUACCUGGAUCCUGAAUUUGAACCAAGUGGUCCAAACGGCCCGGUCACCUGAGCAACCCCUCUGCAGGAACCGCAGGCACAAUAAUGGAUAUGAAGGUGUGACAAAAUUGUUGGCAUCAGAUGAGGUAAAAGAUUUGUACAAAAACAAAAAAGCACAAAAACUGGAAGCAGUCUGGAGUCUGUCAACAGGAGAAUGGAUGAAUAAGGGAACUAUCUGAUUGUGGCCUAUUUGAUGGAAUAUUACUCUGCAAUCAAAAGGAACAGACUGAGACUGAUACACGCAGCAUGGAUGAGUCUUCAGGACAUUGUGUCAAGUAAGAGAAGUCAGAUUCAAAAGAUGAAGUCCUUUCCUGAGCACUUACUACAUGCCAGACACCAUACCAGGGCUGGCUACAUACUCUGUUGGGAAGAAGGCUCAAAAAUGAAUCCUCUCAAGCAGACCCGCUUUGGUUUCCACCCCUCUAUUCUGAGAACCCAAGCUCAACCCAUGUGUUCUGCCUUCAGGUAGAAAAUGUCAGAAUCAUAGGGAAGACUAAGCUGAAAAAAGAAUUUGGAGUUCCAAAGGAAUUCUGUGCCACCUGCCGUCCGGCAAUUCCCUUUGCCAGGUAAUGGCAUGACAGUAAAGACGCACUCUGUUCUGAAUAAGCAGAGAACCGGCUUGGCCUAGGACUUACGUUGAGUGUUACCAGAUGGUGCUGUGCAGCUCCAGGCUCUUAGUGUCCUGACCGAAGAAUUGGACGAGAUACACACAGAUAGCAAAGCAGCAAAAGUGUAUGACGCAUAGUAUUACACUCCCAGAGAGGGGAGAGUGGACUGACCUCUGCGAAAUGAGAUCAACGUCAAUUUGGUGUACUUUGAAUUCUUUUAUAUAUUUUUUCUCUUCUGUGGCCAAGACUGCCUGAUGUCUAGCCAGUGUCUGCCUUUUGAUGGACAGGUGGGCUGCUUAGUUAUUUAAUACUAUGGCCCGUGUGCGCUUGUGACUUCUUGCGAGUCACCUCCAUCCCAUAAUUUUAAGUACGUGCAUAAUAUGCAGUCCAUAUGCAUGAACCUUAAGUAGCUAAUUACCAUACGGGAACAUUUUAAGGAUAUGUUUUCUGUCUAACGUGCAUGCUCAUCUCUGAGGAGCUGCCCCUGACAGGUUUGGUCCAGAUCUAGGCGGCCAUGUGGGCUCCUUACUCACUUUUUUAAAAUCUCACUUUUGUUUUGGCUGCUCAGCCUCUGCUUCAUAUCUCACUUCUUGCUCACUCGCCCCUUCACCUUGCUUCUGCUCUCAUGCUCUCACUCAUUCUUCCUGUAUCCAGUCUCUGGUUCCCUCUCUACCAUCUCCUGCCUCAAAAGUGCUGCUCAGCAUAUAAUUUCUCU
rnacentral:lncRNA from 1 species